GAUCGAGACUGCAGAUUUGGUAUUUAUUUCAUUUAAAUGAGUGAAAACUCGUUGCCGAUUUUUAGUUCGAUGAGAUUUUCGUUUUAUUGUGUUGAGGUUAGUUGUGAAUUUUCAUGUUUGAGAUAGCAUUGUGUCUUGUAUUGUAGAUGUAGAUGAAUCAUAGCUACUCUGGCCAGUCGUAGUCGAUUACUCAACAGCACAAUAAUUCCUGCCGCUGCGGCUGCUCUGUUGUCGCUAUUAUUGAACACCCUGUGCUUGAUGAUCACGUUCUAACUAUAGGGUUGUUCGUUAGUCUUUUGAUUCGUGUUUUUUUUUUCAAUUAAUUUUUAUUUCUUUUCUUCGUGGUUUUCUCAUUAUUGACGUAUGUAGGUAGGUAAUGAAGUAUUUAUUUAUUUUCGUGGUUUUUACACUUUGUUUUUUUUUUCUGCUGACUCAUGUUGGACGUAUCUACUGAACAUUUAACGAAGAAAGGUUUCGAUAUAGUGAUCGCUGAUCGCGAAGGAAAAGAAACGAAAAAGUAGGUAAUGCGAAUCAGAUGCUCAUCAACAUAUUUUGUAUCGUACUCGUACCUGAAAUUGUCAGAGAUGCGAAAGAGUUCCACUGGUACAGAAUGUAAUACUCAAGGAUAAUACUGACGAAAAAGUGGCCAUCAUGAUCACGAAGAAAACAAAAAAAUGAAUACCUAUGUAAAAGAUGUUUGUCGAAGGAUUUCAUAAUCUAGCUAAGUAACGUAAUUAUUUGUCGAAGAUGGAAGCAGUUUCACCUUGAACAUAUGACGAGAAAAAAUGCUGACGAUAAUGGCAAAGUAGACGAAAACUGAAUAGAUUCGUAAAACAUGCUCGUCGAAGGAUUUUCCAACAUAAUUGUCGAAGAUGGAAGCAGUUUCCCUUGCUGAACAUAUGCGACGAGAAAAAAUGCUGGCAAUAAUCACAAAGGAAAAGAAAAAAUGAAUUGAUUCGUAAAAGAUGCUCGACGAAGAAUUGAACAACGUAAUUGUCUCGCGAAGAUGGAAGCAGUUUCCCUGGCUGAUAUUCAAGUUUUUCAACAUUGAGGAGGAGCUGGCGACUUUGAACGUUUUUAUCGAGUUACAAUAAGAACAAGAUUAAAAUUUCAGCAGCAACCAAAUCGAUUUACCUACUUCAUCUGGAUAAUAUAUUGUAUACUUUUAAGCGUACGUGAGAUAUUUCCCCUCCCUCCGAAGAUGAAUUGGACGCGAUUUUUGGAAUUUCUGCUAGGAUUGGAUUGGAUCGGAUCGGGUAUUGUCUUGGCAGUUAUAGGCGAAUUAGCGGUCAUCAUUGUCCGUCGGUGAUGGCCACUAAUUGAAGUGCCUCCGCAUGAUUGUGGAUGACGGAUAUGAGCCGGAUGAUUGGUCAACGUGGCGACUUACUCAGAUGGACUUCCUGACACGAAUUGUGCUUCCGUGCUGGUGGAUGCUGAUUUCGUUGCGUAUCCGAGCCGUGGCGAGAUCAUUAAAGGUAUUCCACCUGGCCAUUCUCCUAUCUGGUCAGCUUGGGUACGGUUGGAGAGAAAGUCUGCUAUAUGGUCUGUGUUAGUUGGGGUUGAAAUUCUAAGUGUUUUUUCUGUUGAAAAUUUCUAAAUUUUGUCUUGCUUUUUUAUUUUUUAUUUAUUUAUUUUUUUUUUCAAUUCAAUCAUUAUUUUUGGCUUUAUAUUUUCUUACAUUCUGUUCUCCCGUCUCUAUAAAAGGUGUAAACAAUUUUUACGGGUUGGUUUCAAUAUAAGGCAAGUAUGGAGUGUGAUGAGUUUUCUAUGUAAAUUUCAUUUUUUCCAUUUUUUUAUUUUUUUUUAUUUUUUCAUCAAAGUUGUCCCUGUGCAUAACUUAUGUCCAACUUUACCAGAUCGUCUCGGUGGCCCAAGGGAAUUGUCGCCGGCGGGCCUGUGGAGUACUGGUAAUGCAAAAUUACAUUUUUUUCCUGCACAUUCUCUUGAUUUUCGCGAAAAGAUCGCAACUUUCGAGUGGAGGAGUUGCGCAACCGGCUCAUGUCUUGGACGUUAUGGCGUAGCCUCCGCGUGUCCCAUGAGAUCCCACUCGCUCAGCAGCAACAGUCUGGAUAAGCCAACUUUACCGCUUCGCAAUGCCAUUAAUCGGGUUGGCGGUACUGCAAAAAGCUGCACUUUAGGUUUUUGGACCGCGCGUAAAGAUCGCUACGCUCGAGGGAAGACGUAGCGCAGGUUCUCCUGGACGUACCCGGUAUCGAUACUGGCGCGGGUUCCUUGAGAAAUCCUCUUCCCUCAACCCAUUCUCAGUCCUUUGGGUGGGGUAUUCUUAUUCAUGAUGAUGCGUGAAGGGGUAAAGUAGGACGGACUUACUUUGCCAAGAUGGAGAGAAUGUGGUCUUCUAAUUGAAUGCAACGAAAAAAUGAACGUACGUGAAUGAUGCUCGUCGAAGGAAUUUCACAAAGUAAUUGUCGAAGAUGGAAGCAGUUUUCUCUGAACAUGUGACAAGAAAAAAAUGCUGGCAAUAAUUGCAAAGGAAAUGAAAAAAUGAAUAGAUUUGUAAAAGAUGCUCGUCAAAGGAUUUUACAACGUAGUUGUCGAAGAUGGAAUCAGUUUCCCAAUUGCUGAUCUAAAAAUGGAAUUCAGAUGCAGAUUCUAUCUACGUACGUGUGAUAUCAUCAGCUCCAGAAUAUUCUCCAGCUUCGAACGUGCGACACCUAACUAAUAUCUCUCGCCUCCCUCUCGCCUGACCAGUUUCAAAUUUUACGUGAUCAGCUUUUAACGGAAUAACCAGCGCAGCGUGUGACGAUUUUAUUCGGCGGAACCGCGGAAUUCUACCGAGCUUCGAGAAGCGCUUUUCUGUAUGUACGUACAAUGUUUGUAAAUUGAACUUGUCGCCCUUCCCCUCUCCCUUCAUCGCAGCAUGUGGCGCGUUGGCUUACGAGCUUUACAUAUACCUACGUACGAUGGACCGCGAUACAGCGCGGAAUAAUAAUUAUUGAAGAGACUUACCAGUUCGCUGAACGAUAUUCUGACGUGCAAUUUUCAUCACGUGCGAAUUUUUUGAUUGGUCAAUGGUCAUCGUUGCUCUCACUGACGUGAGCUAUACUUUUGAACGCAGCACUUGAGCGUGAUAAUUUUAGCUGCCACGAUUAUUCCAGUUUGAAGAACUGUAUUUUACGCAUGCGAAUAUUUGUAAAUGUGAUUAUGCCCUCACCUGCUAUUUGGAUUGAAUAGUUCUUCUAUGUUGAGAACUUGCUGGAACGUUCGCUGAUUUGAUUAUGAGUAGUACUUUCCUAUACUUGUACCGCUACUUAUCGAUUUUAUGGAUUAUUCGAGCGGAUAUUUUGACGUUUUAUUCGCGAUGAGCUCCUUUUUUUUCCAAUUGAUGGAUGAAUAUCCAAGGGCAAUCCUAUGAAGGUUUGAUGAGUUAGGUGAUGCUUUUCUCUAGUCUAGUUUUUUUUUCUGAGUAGAGUAGGGAUAAUGGGAUAUAGAAAAGUAUUUUUUUUUUCAACUGUCUGUCUUUAUGAUAGGGUGAAUAUUAGUUGGGAUGUUAUUUUUAGGAUAGAAAUGCAACAACAAUAUUCAUUUCGAACGAUUAUUUUUGGCUGUAGUUUUUCGAGACUUUAAUCAAAUCAUGCUGUUUUUUUUUUUUUUUGAAAAUUGGAUAUGUACUUACUGCAAUAUUUUGGAUCAAAAUUGAAAAAAUGUUGGGGCGGUUUGUAUUUGGCUAUUUUCAAAAUUUUGUUGUAAGUGACGCGCCGAUGUUGGUAUCUGGUCAACCUGGAGACCUCACAACAUCGGAAGAGACCCGGAGGGUUUUGCGAUGCCUACUGCGAUCGUCCCCGGCAUCCGGGAUACCAAGGCGGCAUGGUAGGGUCGCAUUAAACGAAGGGUAAUGAGGGAUGGUAGAAUUUACACGUUUAACUAGAUAUCUAACAUUGUUCGAAUCGCAGGUCGAAAGGUCUUUUGAUCGUCUCGGUGGCGUUCUUUGUGGUACCUCAUGUGCGACUUUUUCCUUCAAAAACACACUGUGACGUGUGAUUUUUGGAGCGAACGAGUCGUAUACGAGUUCUCCAAGGCGUCGUCGGGCGAUUUGUGGUGCGUGAAAGUGCGUGUGUUGAAGCUGCAGGUGAGUGUAGGGAAUUGAGAUACUGUUCCGGAGAGUCGGGCCCGACAAAGGGUUCGAUUGUCUGGACUGUUGAGAGUGCGAGAAGAGCGGAUGUCGAUCUGGAUUUUUAUGCUUUGUUACGAAUCUAGUGAACGUGUAAGGUCUUUCCGUCAUCGUAUUGGGGUAGAGAAAUAAUCAAAAAUAAUUAAACUAUUAAAAUGAUUAGCAUCGAACUUUCUAUAGGAAUGUGUUUUAGUCAUCAGUGGUCGGAUGGUGGGAGAUUACUGGGGUUCGAUUUUGGUACUUUGGAAGAGUCAGCUGCAGGCGAGUCAUUAUAUUAUAUUAUGUUACAUAUAAGUUAGUUUACACGAGUUGAUUCAGGUGAGUGGUUAUUUAAUUACUUAUUAAUUAAGAUUAGUUUAUUUGCGUCAAAAAGACCAAGUGACGAGCGAAAUUAUCGAGAAUUCGCGCUGUUUUACGAUGAAAUUUGUCGAGAAAUUGAAAUUAGGAACCCCCCCCUCAUCACUCUAGUUUUUAUGUAUAUCAUGAAGAUGUUGUAUUGAUUCUGUUUGUGUAUCUUUUUUUUCUUGUUUUCUUUUGAAAAUUUGUAUCAUAUCACAUGUUACUAUUAUUCGUGUAUUUUUGUAAUGACCAAUCACGGUUUUUCACUGUCGAGCGGCCGGCGGUGUUUUUUAUUCCAGAUUGGUCAACGUGUUGUAGAAUUAAGUCUGUAUUGAUUUCAUUGCCGUUAAAUUUAAAACGAAUUUCGUUU